AGUCCCGUAGUGUAACGGUAUCACACGACCUUCACACGGUCGAGACGGCGGUCCGACUCCGCCCGGGACUA
rnacentral:tRNA from 1 species